CAGCCGCCGCGGUAAAACGUAGGGGGCUAGCGUUGCUCGGAAUCACUGGGCGUAAAGGGUGCGUAGGCGGGUCUUUAAGUCAGAGGUGAAAUCCUGGAGCUCAACUCCAGAACUGCCUUUGAUACUGGAGAUCUCGAGUUCGGGAGAGGUGAGUGGAACUGCGAGUGUAGAGGUGAAAUUCGUAGAUAUUCGCAAGAACACCAGUGGCGAAGGCGGCUCACUGGCCCGAUACUGACGCUGAGGCACGAAAGCGUGGGGAGCAAACAGGAUUAGAUACCCGUGUAGUCCCUGUCUCUUAUAC
rnacentral:rRNA from 1 species